rnacentral:piRNA from 1 species
UCUCCUUUUCCGCACACUCACCUGUGUAGC